GACCACAGCAACCUUGUUGACUCCCCACACCCUGCAGCGAGAGAGCCGGUGCAGUGCCACUUACCCUCCCCACCAGCAGCUGGCCAUGCCCUGAGAGUGGAUCCCUGUGGGCUCGAUUUACCCUAUAUCAGGGAAUAAUGGGGACCAGGUAUCUCUCAAGGAAAGACAAGGAAAAGACAGCAUGAAGAUGAUGGUGGGGCCCUGCUGUGUAUUACCAAUGAAGUUCUGCUGUAAACACAAAGCAUACAACCACCGCACAAGUGAACAGGAGACAUCAAAGCUUAGUGUUUUUGGACCACCGGACACAAAAAUGGCACUGAACUACCGAAAGGAAGACAUGGUCAACAUCUCCCACAACCGUCAGCCCCUAAAAGCAGCUCAACACAAAGGCAGC